ensembl:lncRNA
ACACCCAGCCCCCAACACACACAAACUCCUCUCCAAUUCCUUAUUUGGCUUGAAUGUCUCCAGGAAGCAUUAUUUUCAGAGGUGGUCACUUUUCAGUAAGUGGUUAUUAAAAUUAUUCCUGCUGUUCAAUCCAUUUGUCUUCUGACAAUUGUACUUCUGGUCCUAAUUCUGACCUCUUGGGCAACACAGGACCAGUUCUUUGAAAUUUCCACUGUUCCUCUCUUUCAGGUUAAAUAUUCUCGGUUUCUUUCAUGCCUUCCUUUCAUGUCUUUGAUGCCCUUCUUUCUUUCUUUCUUUUUCUUUCAUCUCUCUUUCAUGUCUCUCUUCCUUUCCUUUCCUUUCCUCCAUCCCUCCCUCCCUUCCUUUUUUUUCCUUUCUGUCUUUCUUUCCCAACCCACGACCUAUGGAGUUCCUGGGCCAUGGAUCAGAUCAGAGCUGCAGCUGGGGCAACAUCAGAUCCUUUAACCCACUGUGCAGGGCUAGAGACUGAACCUGCAUCCUGGUGCUGCAGAGAGAUGUCACGGAUUCUGUGCUGUCAUAGCAGGAACUCCUUUUUCAUGGUUUCUUAACAAGGCCUUCCUUCUAGGGUUGUGACCCUAGAGCUCUACUCUGCCUCUGGGUGGAUAAGCUGCUGAGGAGCAAGGUUUAUUUUCUUGUUUAGGCCCAGGAACAGCCAGGCCCAGCACUCCUAUCUCUGGACUCAUGUGAGAAAAACCAACCCAUAAAGCCAGCUCUCUGUUGCUUGCAACUGAACACUUUCGUAGUUGAUAUAAGUACUUGCUUUGUACUUGGCUCUCUGCUGGCUACUCUACCAGUGCUCUGCCCAAUCAUCAGGACAAUUUACUAACAGCCUCCACCUCAGUGUUCUCAUCUGUAAAAUGAGGGAUCUGGACCCAAUGAUCUCUGUGGUCUUCAUAUCUGAUGUCAGCUCCAUUAGCCUCCUCACCAAUGUCCUAAGCACCUACACUGGACUCUGAAAAUAGUGCUGGCAUUUUUCUUCCAUGACUUUGAGUCACAACUGCAUUUACUUUGCAUUUUAAUAUUUUCCUUCCCAGAAAUAUUUUUAAUAAUUGCUCUUUUGGAGGGGAGAGAAGGAGAGAGAAGGGUUUUUGCAGAAUCUCUUCCUGCCUAGUUGGAGAAUCCUUAAUAUUCCAAAUCCUCUCUCCUCUUCCUCCCCCUUGGCAUCCAUUCCUCAGGCCAAUGUAGGAACCCCCAAACAUCAGCCUCCAUCACUUGGUGCAGAGAGCACUGGGAGGCAUGUGAGCUGGGCUGCUGUCCACUGACCACUAAGCCCCAGGGGGAGGGACCACACAGAGCGUUUGACGUCUGAUGAGCCCAAUACAGUGCUGGUUACUAACUGUGCCAGAACGUCUCUAGGCCUCUGUGUGCUCAUCUGUGUGGGAGAGGGGGUGGGGUGGCGGUAAUGAUACUUGCCUAACCUGCCCUGUGUGGAUGCUCUGAGGAAUUUGGCAGAAUGAGGACUUUGGAACACUGAAGAGGCUGUCUAUGUCAGGAUCAAUUUUAAGAUUAUGAUAGCUACUCCUUCCAUAUGCUGGUGAUUUUUAUGACCAGGAUACUUACUAUUAUGUGUUAAAAUUCAGAGCUUUUGGAUGCAGCACGUUGUCUUUACCUAAGUAUAAGCAUGUGAUUAGAAUGUACACCAGUGGUUAUAAAUGUACAAUUAUUACAUUUAUCUGAUGGAAGACUACACAAGAGUUUAAAACAUCUAAUUACUUUGGCACAAGAAGUAUUUAAGCCAUUCCUAAAGGAUCUAAUCUUAUUUCUAAAGAGGAAAAAGAGUCCUUCAAAGGAAGUGGGAGUUGCCUGGCUAUGGCAAUUAGAGAUGCCACUCUUCCUGAUUUUCCUUCUCUCUGAAAACCAAGGAAAGGAAAGUUUCAGGUUGAAACGCUCACGCUAGGCCAGCUUCAGGGCUUGUGGCUGCCACUGUGUUUUCGAGUUCCCCUGUGGGUAAUGGAGGCAGGAACUACUCUAGUGGCUGCCACCGCAUGGGAAUAAUCAUCAAAAGAGAGAAGAGACAAAAAUAUUUUAAUUGCCUUGUAACCUCUCCUUAGCUGUGAAACAAGGUGGCCUUUACAGCUGCCCCCCAGAGAGACUAAACACUGGGCCAGGUCUGUUUUGAAUGGAAAGCUGUAAAGUCCAAGCAUUUAAAAGCAGUGUUACUCUGUAAUCACCGCUGCUAUUUAUAGAGCCUGCCCUGCUCCACAGGCUUAUGGCCACACAUCUCUGCGGCUGCCAUUACCAGCUGACCCACAAGACUCCGGCUGAUGUCCUAGAGGGACCUACAGUUGGAGGAAGCCCUGGCCCUGUGAUGCUAGGGUCACGCACACAAGGUUCCCCAGGAGGGAGACCAAGGCUGGAACCCAGGAGACUUGUUCUGUGUCAACCCAUGCAAGGAGGUAGGUGAUCAGUCCAGCUGAUUCCCACCCUCUUUCCCCUCUCUCAUACACACAACUCUUGGAAGCUAGAAUCUCCUCCCUUGUAAUAAAAACUUUAAAAAUUUUAAAAUGAGAAGUUCUCUCCUAAUGAAGUUGAUCAGCUCUAAAACUGUCUGGAUUUAGCAUUUAGGGACUGCCCAGUGGACAGCUGGUUUCCUGCUCACUCACCUGCUGGUUGACAGGCCUCUCUCAUUCGCACAAUUUCUUAAUCCCUCAUUCUUAAAUGGGAACAGAAAUCGAAGGAGCACUAGACAGUUGGUUCAAAUUACAACAUGAAUAGAAGAGUCAAACAAAUAGAAAAACUGGUUCCAGAGGAAACAAAGGUAAUUCGGGGAGCAGAAGAGAACGUCAAAAAAAAAAAAA